GGAUGUGAGGGCAAUCUGGCUGCGACAUCUGUCACCCCAUUGAUCGCCAGGGUUGAUUCGGCUGAUCUGGCUGGCUAGGCAGGUGCCCCAUUCCUCCCUCACGGCUCCUUGUGCGUCCCUCCCGAAGUUGCGCACUUGGUCGAAGAAGACGACCAUCCCCACUAGAGGAGGACCAGUCGAAGAGGAGGACCAUCCCCGCUAGAGGAGGACUGGUCUUCAGUCAAGGAUAUACAAGUAGCUGUGCUCCCCUGCUAGAACCUCCAGACAAGCUCUCAGGGUCCAUUUACUGCCAUAAACUAGAAUCUUGUGGGUACAACGAGACAAAUGCAGAGCAAUUCUCUUCUAGGAGGACUCUACAGGUGCUGUGUGCAUUUGU
rnacentral:snRNA from 1 species